rnacentral:piRNA from 1 species
UGUUUCAAUAAAACUGGAAGAUUGUUU